AUUGAACGCUGGCGGCAUGCCUUACACAUGCAAGUCGAACGGCAGCACGGGAGCAAUCCUGGUGGCGAGUGGCGAACGGGUGAGUAAUAUAUCGGAACGUGCCCAGUCGUGGGGGAUAACGUAGCGAAAGCUACGCUAAUACCGCAUACGAUCUAUGGAUGAAAGCGGGGGAUCGCAAGACCUCGCGCGAUUGGAGCGGCCGAUAUCAGAUUAGGUAGUUGGUGGGGUAAAAGCCUACCAAGCCUUCGAUCUGUAGCUGGUCUGAGAGGACGACCAGCCACACUGGAACUGAGACACGGUCCAGACUCCUACGGGAGGCAGCAGUGGGGAAUUUUGGACAAUGGGGGCAACCCUGAUCCAGCCAUUCCGCGUGAGUGAAGAAGGCCUGGUUGUAAGAUCUUCGUCUGGAGUGAACGGUAGCGC
rnacentral:rRNA from 1 species